GACAGCUCAGUUGGUAGAGCAUCAGACUCUGAAUCUCUGGGCUGUGGGUUUGAGUCCCAUGUUG